GCUGGGGAAAGGUCUUUUUCUGGAGAUCCCUUCUUGGUGAAGAUUUCCCCUGUGAAUGCAGAAUCUUCUAAUAUGACUGGAACAAUCAGUGGAGUCAGACACAGGUACCCAUCUGCCUCAGCAAGAGGGUACCAACAAAUUGGAAUGGAACAGAGAAGAAAGCAACUCCUUGGAGAUGGAAGCAAGAAGAGCUGUGUCUAAUGCAUGACUUGAACACUAGGCAAAGGUGUGUGCCUGGGCUUUCUUGGGCUGAGCCUGCUCCCAGGCCCUGGCUGUGUUAGUAAGGAGAUGGAUUGUGAAUUCACUGCUCAUGUUCUGCUGUAAAGGGACAUGUUUGUCUUUUCUUCCUUGUGUCUGGGACAGUGCAUGAACUAAGCAUUUCUUUAGGAUUGCUGUGUUUAAGCCAUCACAGCAUCCUGCUGGAGGGAGCUUUGCUUCCUUUGAAAAGCAAGGUUGGUGUGAACAGAGUAGCUUCUGCUAAGGGAGAGGGAUGUGUGGGAGGUGUACCAUGAGCAGGUCACCUUUUUCUGCCAUUAGCAGAAGUGAAUUUGCUCUUCUAGGGGCUGGGUUUCUGGAGUGGCCUUUGUGCCGGAGCAGGACCUAAAUUGGUGCUUCACCAGGGGCAGGCAUGACAUGGCACACUGCAGCUUUUAACACUGUACAGGAUGUGUUGUUGUGUAUCAUCACUGUGCGGAGAAGCUAAUGUAAAACCACUGAUCAGUUUCUCUGAAGUUUUUUUCCAAUGAUUUUAACAAUUUGUAAAUAAUUUCUGAGAGAAGACAUUUGACUUUAUGAGCUGUUUGUAUUUGUUGUACUGUACAUUCCAGUUUGAUCAUUGUUAAUUAGUGUCAUGCCUCUGUGUUUUACAGUGAGCAGAAUUACUUCUCUUACCAAUGGCUCUUUGGUGCUACUAAAUUCCUAUUCUACUCAUUGAGCGUGAAAGUUCCUUUUUCUUCCCUCACUGCAUUUCUUCACUACCUUUGACUUAUCUGGAGCGGUUGACUGGCAAAAGUUUCUUUUAUAAACAAGCGGAUUAAAGGGAGAGGUACUGGAUUAAAGAUGACAGACCACAGUCUGAUCCUAUGAAAGUCAAUGGUAAAUCUCCCAUAAGCCACAGUGAAAACAAUGCCAGGAAGAAAAGAGCUUUCUAGGUGCAAUAUUAGUGUGAUUUUAAAGAAAAGUGGAAUGCAUCAUCUCCCCUCUUGUUUGCAGCUGACUUUUUUGGAGUGUAGCAUUUCUAGUGAGUUAGCAUAACACAGCUUUUGUAAUAAAGCAUUCAUAAAUUCCCUGUACAAAUGAAAACACAGUGUAUUGGCCUGAGUUUAAACAUCCUUGAGCAAAAAUAAAUAAAUAAAUAAAAGCUGUUUAGUAGAGUACUGGCUAUCUGACUGAAGGGUCAGUACAUAUGAAGGUUCUAAAAUAUAACAUAGAUUAAGUAAAGUCUGUAUGACAUGCAUGAACCCUUCUGUGCAUACUGUAGCCCUGCUCUGCUCUCUAUUCUCCAGAGGUGAGAGCUGCUAAGGUGAACAGAUGAUUGCCAUGUGACAUUUACCCUGUGUCAGAGCUCAGCCCAUGAGGCUCUGGGCUUGGACAAACACUUAAUAGCUUAUUUUCUUCAGUAAGUAGUUAAGUAGAUGCAGUGCAUUGAAGAAAGAACAGGUCUUAUCUAAUUCCAAGUUAGUUUCAAGCUAGUGAAAGAAAAUAAGAGUACCUUAUGUUACUUGUUUUUCUGAAUUUGAACAAAAAGCCUUGAGAAAUGUUAUUCUGUAAUUGUUCAGCUAUUUAGUCUUCAGUUCUCUUCUUUCUGAAAGCUCAGUUUAUACUUACAAAGAGAAGUAUUUUCUUUAAUGACAGUUUCCUGGCAGCAUCUGGGUUCAGCACUGCCUUGCCCAUACUAAGGCACUUGGCUGGUGUUGCCUGCUAUGGAGCACAUCUCACGGCUCACUGCAUGGCUGAUUCCUCUACAGGGGAAGGAAUAUUGUGCCAUCACAUAAGGUGUGGAGAUGCCACCUAAUCCUGCUCCCCUGGGGUGGGAGGGAAUUGCCUUUCUGUGUAGGCCUACUGAAAGCUAGCAGAUUGAUAGUCUACUGGUUAAACACACAGUAUGACUUACCUCCUUUAUUUUAGUUUUAUUGAUCUUACAAAUUUCUAUUUUUUUUUUUUUUUUGGAGUAUUUGGAUAUAUUUUUGUUCUCUGAAGUUUUUGAAGGCAUCAUUUUCAUAGGCAUACAAUAGAAAUGGUAAACCAAAAAAUAUAUAUAUAAAAAUCCUAUUCAUACUUUGAGCUUACGAAGUAACAGCACAUCCAUUGAAAUUUAAAUCAAAAUGAAGACUGUGUCACACACUAUAGCUCUCUGGAAAGCUACAGUGGGAGUCUAGCAGUCCAAUUCAUUCCUUUGUAGACUGUACUAAGGCUAAUGGUCUUGCUGGGAGUAAAAUGUAUUUUUUGCAGAAUGGUUCCAAGAACAGACUUUUCUCAGAAAAACAUAAAAGAAAACAAAUGCUUACUGUGUCUUUAGUAUGCUAAAUAUGAAAUUCUUUACACAAUGGAAUGUUAGCAGUAGCUGUAAUCAUGU